GUGUGCUUCGACAGCACAUAUACUAAAUUUGGAAGAAUACAGAGAAGAUUAGCAUGGCCUCUGCACAAGGAUGACACACAAAUUCAUUAAAGGUUCCAUAUUUUU